CAUUAAAGAAUGCCCCGUUUUUUGAAAUGGGUUCUAUUCCCAAACCGUGUAUACAUACCUUUGUUGCUUUGGCAGGCCGCCUUCGGGCGUCGGCUCACGCUGACCGCGCCUGCCAGAGGACCCAAACUCGUUUAUUUAGUGAUGUCUGAGUACUAUAUAAUAGUUAAAAACUUUCAACAACGGAUCUCUUGGUUCUGGCAUCGAUGAAGAACGCAGCGAAAUGCGAUAAGUAAUGUGAAUUGCAGAAUUCAGUGAAUCAUCGAAUCUUUGAACGCACAUUGCGCCCCUUGGUAUUCCGAGGGGCAUGCCUGUUCGAGCGUCAUUAUGACCACUCAAGCCUAGCUUGGUAUUGGGGUUCGCGGUCUCGCGGCCCUUAAAAUCAGUGGCGGUGCCGUCUGGCUCUAAGCGUAGUAAUUUAUCUCGCUAUUGGGUCCGGCGGUUGCUUGCCAACAACCCCCAACUUCUAAGGUUGACCUCGGAUCAGG
rnacentral:rRNA from 1 species